UACAGAGGGUGCAAGCGUUAAUCGGAUUUACUGGGCGUAAGGGCGCGUAGGUGGUAAAGCAAGUAAGAUGUGAAGCCCUGGCUUAACCUGGAAGUGCAUCUUAACUGCUUAACUAGAGUAUGGUAGAGGUAGUGGAAUUCCGGUGUAGCGGUGAAUGCGUAGAGAUCGGAGGAACGCCAGUGUGAAGACGACUACUGACCAAUACUGACACUGAGCGCGAAGCGUGGGAGUCAACA
rnacentral:rRNA from 1 species